GGUACCUUAGCUCAGCGGUAGAGCAGUGGACUGAAAAUCCGCGUGUCCCUGGUUCGAUUCCCGGAGGUACCA
rnacentral:tRNA from 1 species